rnacentral:rRNA from 1 species
UACGAAGGGGGCUAGCGUUGUUCGGAAUUACUGGGCGUAAAGGGCGCGUAGGCGGUGUGUCAAGUCAGGCGUGAAAGCCCCGGGCUCAACCUGGGAACCGCGCUUGAGACUGGCACGCUCGAGUUCGGGAGAGGAUAGUGGAAUUCCCAGUGUAGUGGUGAAAUACGUAGAGAUUGGGAAGAACACCAGUGGCGAAGGCGGCUAUCUGGACGGUUUCUGACGCUAAGACGCGAAAGCGUGGGGAGCAAACAGG